CUUCCUCUUCUCUUUUCUUCCAAAAAAAAUUAUAAAAAUAACUAAAAAUUCCCAACUUUCUUUUUGGACUAGAAUACCUGAACAAUUAGUAAGAAUAGAUCCAAACCCUACAUCUAGUCUAGUAGAUCUUAAGCCCACCAUAGGUGAACCCGAACAUGAACCUCGGGACCUGAAAGAUGUUUGCUACCCAAUUGGGUCAG
rnacentral:lncRNA from 1 species